UCUUUCCAUUCCUUAAAGUUUGUGCCGUUAAGCACAGGGAUGCUGUUAAUGUUUGCAGAUAUUGUAGCAGCUGAAGAAUUCACUGAAAAUAUAACAAGGACAACUUAAUACAUGCUUACAGUUACUUGAAUUUUAAACUGGAGUUUACAGAUUCAAAAUAGGCAAAUCACAUUACAAGAUACCUAGCACAACAUUGAUUUUGGUCUUUGGACAGAAAAUCAACUUGUAAGUGGUACUCUUGGUGUAGUAAUCAAAUAUUGACAAUAAACUCCUGUCAAAUUUCAAGCCUUCCUUUGGGCCGACUUAAUAUUCACAUGGAAAACUUAAUAAUUGUCACAUAUUUAU
rnacentral:lncRNA from 1 species